rnacentral:rRNA from 1 species
UACGUAGGGAGCAAGCGUUGUUCGGAUUUACUGGGCGUAAAGGGCGCGUAGGCGGCGCGGUAAGUCACUUGUGAAAUCUCCGAGCUUAACUCAGAACGGCCAAGUGAUACUGCAGUGCUAGAGUGCAGAAAGGGCAAUCGGAAUUCUUGGUGUAGCGGUGAAAUGCGUAGAUAUCAAGAGGAACACCUGAGGCGAAGGCGGGUUGCUAGGCUGACACUGACGCUGAGGCGCGAAAGCCAGGGGAGCAAACGGG